GACAGAGGGUGCAAACGUUGCUCGGAAUUACUGGGCGUAAAGCGCGUGUAGGCGGUCACGCAAGUCAGGUGUGAAAGCCCCGGGCUCAACCUGGGAAUUGCAUUCGAGACUGAAUAGCUAGGGUGCGGUAGAGGGAAGCGGAAUUCCUGGUGUAGCGGUGAAAUGCGCAGAUAUCAGGAGGAACACCGAUGGCGAAGGCAGGCCCCCUGGGCCAAUACUGACGCCUCAUGCACGAAAGCGUGGGGAGCAAACAGG
rnacentral:rRNA from 1 species